rnacentral:rRNA from 1 species
CUAGCCGUAAACGAUGGAUACUAGGCGUUGAGAGGAUCGACCCUCGCAGUGCCGUAGCUAACGCGUUAAGUAUCCCGCCUGGGGAGUACGCGCGCAAGCGUGAAACUCAAAGGAAUUGACGGGGGCCCGCACAAGCGGUGGAGUAUGUGGUUUAAUUCGAUGCAACGCGAAGAACCUUACCAGGGCUUGACAUGUCCGGAACCCUGCCCAAAGGUGGGGGUGCCUACGGGAGCCGGUACACAGGUGGUGC